rnacentral:lncRNA from 1 species
UAGGAAUGAUGCUGUUACAACUACAUUAAAAAAGAGUUUGUCAUCAAAGUGCUGUUUUUUUUAGAGAGAAAGAAGCUCUGAACUACACUUGUGAUGAAAGCAGCUUCAUUAAGACUUGGGUUCCUUGCAUUCUCAGUUCAUUUGGAUUCUCAUGAAUAAGGGAGAGAAUUUUAACCAGCUUUGUUUUCCUUCUGCUUAUCUGGUUGCAAGUAAAAUUCCAGAGGAAGAUAGAUGCCAGCCAAGGUUUUGGCAAUGCAAUCACAUGUGAGUAGGUAAUUCUUUUUUGCACCUCUGUUGCCAGC